rnacentral:rRNA from 1 species
GAUGAACGCUGGCGGCGUGCCUAAUACAUGCAAGUCGAGCGAACAGAUAAGGAGCUUGCUCCUUUGACGUUAGCGGCGGACGGGUGAGUAACACGUGGGUAACCUACCUAUAAGACUGGGAUAACUUCGGGAAACCGGAGCUAAUACCGGAUAACAUUUGGAACCGCAUGGUUCUAAAGUGAAAGAUGGUUUUGCUAUCACUUAUAGAUGGACCCGCGCCGUAUUAGCUAGUUGGUAAGGUAACGGCUUACCAAGGCAACGAUACGUAGCCGACCUGAGAGGGUGAUCGGCCACACUGGAACUGAGACGCGGUCCAGACUCCUACGAGAGGCAGCAGUAGGGAAUCUUCCGCAAUGGGCGAAAGCCUGACGGAGCAACGCCGCGUGAGUGAUGAAGGGGUUCGGCUCGUAAAACUCUGUUAUUAGGGAAGAACAAAUGUGUAAGUAACUGUGCACGUCUUGACGGUACCUAAUCAGAAAGCCACGGCUAACUACGUG